rnacentral:sRNA from 1 species
GCAUGUGUUCCUUCUCUGCACGAUUCUGUGUUUGUCCCUUUUAAAGCUGUGUACUUGAUACAAGUGAUAGCUCUUCCUGGAUAAGUCCUCUAAGUCUUACCUUCCCAGAUAAGACCCUCUACUCAAGGGUCUGUGGGUGCCCCUAACUGCUUGAUAGAACCUCCAAACAAGUUCUCGAAAAUCGCUUGUAGGAGAAAGUAGAGUUGUCAAGCUUAAGUGAAAACAUUCGAUUCUGCUUAAGACCAGGUCUCAAGC